rnacentral:rRNA from 1 species
CGACAUUAGACGAAUCAUCUGGAAAGAUGAAUCAAAGAAGGUAAUAAUCCUGUAGUCGAAAAUGUUGUCUCUCUUGAGUGGAUCCUGAGUACGACGGAGCACGUGAAAUUCCGUCGGAAUCUGGGAGGACCAUCUCCUAAGGCUAAAUACUCUCUAGUGACCGAUAGUGAACCAGUACCGUGAGGGAAAGGUGAAAAGCACCCCGGAAGGGGAGUGAAAUAGAACCUGAAACCGUGUGCUUACAAGUAGUCAGAGCCCGUUAAUGGGUGAUGGCGUGCCUUUUGUAGAAUGAACCGGCGAGUUACGAUUUGAUGCAAGGUUAAGCAGUAAAUGUGGAGCCGUAGCGAAAGCGAGUCUGAAUAGGGCGUUUAGUAUUUGGUCGUAGACCCGAAACCAGGUGAUCUACCCUUGGUCAGGUUGAAGUUCAGGUAACACUGAAUGGAGGACCGAACCGACUUAUGUUGAAAAGUGAGCGGAUGAACUGAGGGUAGCGGAGAAAUUCCAAUCGAACCUGGAGAUAGCUGGUUCUCUCCGAAAUAGCUUUAGGGCUAGCCUCAAGUGAUGAUUAUUGGAGGUAGAGCACUGUUUGGACGAGGGGCCCCUCUCGGGUUACCGAAUUCAGACAAACUCCGAAUGCCAAUUAAUUUAACUUGGGAGUCAGAACAUGGGUGAUAAGGUCCGUGUUCGAAAGGGAAACAGCCCAGACCACCAGCUAAGGUCCCAAAAUAUAUGUUAAGUGGAAAAGGAUGUGGCGUUGCCCAGACAACUAGGAUGUUGGCUUAGAAGCAGCCAUCAUUUAAAGAGUGCGUAAUAGCUCACUAGUCGAGUGACACUGCGCCGAAAAUGUACCGGGGCUAAACAUAUUACCGAAGCUGUGGAUUGUCCUUUGGACAAUGGUAGGAGAGCGUUCUAAGGGCGUUGAAGCAUGAUCGUAAGGAC